rnacentral:misc_RNA from 1 species
UCAUUGUCAUUAGUGUCAGAAAUAAUUGUGUCAAUUUUGUGAAUGUGAAGCUUUUUUCAUAAUAUAAAUAUUUUUAAGCAAUAUUAUAAUAUUAAUACCAUCCAACAAAUCGUAUUUUAAUAGUAGUAGAUGAUGAUUAAAUAUUAACAAUGGCUCAAAACAACACUGGUGGUACUUCUUCCAGGCGACAGCAUCCAAGAGAUCACGAUGCAGCUUCUAUUACAUCUUCUAGAAUUGCAGAUAUCUCAGAGUGGGAAGCUAAUGAGGCUCUGCGCCAAAGGGAACUUGAAGAAGCAAAAGGUCGGGCUGCACAAAUGGAAAAAACCAUGAGAUGGUGGUCAGAUUGUACAGCGAACUGGAGAGAAAAAUGGAGUAAAGUAAGAAAUGAACGCAAUAAGGCAAGGGAAGAAUGUAAACAAAUGCGCUCAAAACUUGAUACUGUUCUUAAAGAAACAAAUAACUACAAAAGAGAUAAAGAAGAAUUAGAAUUACAAAACGAUCAGCUUAAAAAGGAAAUAGAAAAAAUUCAUAUAUUGCUAUUAAAACAUGCAGGUCAAUUUGAUUCACAAAUUUUAGAAGCUCUAAGUGAUGAUCCUCUUAAAGAUUUUGUGUUCAGUACAAACUCACCAGUGAAAGAGAGAGAAAAUGGUGUUACGUCUUCGCAAUCCAAUCCAGAAUGUGACAGUACCAUUGAGCAAAAUAAUGAUAGUUCUGCGUUUGAAGAAUAUGUUUUACAAGGAGCUCUACCUCGAUUUAAAGAUGCUGAUAAAAAGACUGGUUCUGUGGACGAAGAUGUUGCUAACGAUGUGGAGAAACUCUCAAAUGAUUUUGAUGAAGAAUAUAUAUUACAAAAGUUGUCCAUGCUGCAAUUACGGUUAGAAGAAACUACAAAAACCUUACAAGCUGAAAGAGACGAAAAAUCACAACUUCAUCGCAGCAUCGAUCGUCUCAAUGCUGAGCUCCAAGAAACAAAAGACAGAUGUGAUGAAAUGAAAGAAUCACGACAAGAUACAAUGCGUGAAAUUCUGCUACUUCAAGAUCAACAUCAAAAGGAGUUACAGCUAAUCAAGGCUGAUUUACAAGACGAAGCAAAUUCCAGGGAAGGAAUGGAUAAAAGACUAAAUGACCUAAGGGCUGAGUUGGAAAGGUUGCAAGCUGAAAAUGCAGCCGAAUGGGGUAAAAGAGAAAGACUCGAAACUGAGAAGCUGGCCAUUGAAAGAGAUAACAAAAAGUUACGAAGUGAAUUGAGAGAUAUGCAAGAAAGGAUGGAAAGAAAAGGUCGGCCUGUUACAAAUUCCGAUGCCGAAAUUAGACAUCUGCAACAAGAACUAGCGGAUAAGAAUAAGGAAAUAUCAGAACUGAAACAUUCCCAAAGCAAACUGAAGAAAAUGGUUCAAGACAAGAUGACCGAACUGGCCCAUGCUGUACGCAGAGCCGAGCAAUAUGAGACUGAGGUUAAGAAACUUAGAACACGAGUUGAAGAACUCAAACGAGAUUUAGCUGUGGCAGAAGAUGAAUUGGACACAGCCGGAAACAACAUUAGAAAACUCCAAAGAAGUAACGAUGAGUUACAGGAACAAGUUGAUAAUUUUCAGUUGCAAUUGCAGCAUCUCCAUACCAGUUUGGAAAAAGAAGACGGUGGUGAGGAAAUGGCUCAAUUUGAUGAAAAUGAUUGUUUGCAUGGCUAUAAUCUUUCAUAUGCGAAGUAGAGGAUGGUAUUUUGGGAACUUAUCAAGCUUUGGCUUUUGUCGUGCUGACUUUUUAUGCAUGAAAUGUACAGGUUACGUAACUGCAGUUCCUCGAGUUUGUUAGCUCAUCGAGGGACAAAUCUAGAGGAAGGUAGCGACGACGAGGCUAAUGAAUUUAUGUAGAAAAUUGUAUUGUAUUUUUUUUCAAAUCCGGUAACUACUUCACUUCUUAGGAAGAAAACAAUAAAACCACGUGUAUGUAUAUGUUAACUUAUUUAUUAUUUUUUUACUUGUACAAAUCUGAAACCUAAUUAUCUUUGUAUAUUUGAAAAUAUAUAAUUUAUUUCUU